GCUCCGGUGGCUUAGUGGUUAGAGCGUCCGCCAUAGAUGCGGGAGAUGGUGGGUUCAAUCCCCGGUCGAGUCA